ensembl:rRNA 5S_rRNA 5S ribosomal RNA
GUCUAUGGCCAUAUUAUUCUGAUUCCCAAAGAUGAGCAGUGUCAGGCCUGGCCAGUACUUGUAAAGAGACAACCUGAGAAUACUGGAUGCUGUAGGGU